UCAAGAUCAAACAUUCGUGACCAACUAUAUUCAUUGGGUUUGGCUCGUCGAACCGUACUGCUGCUGCAGUCAGCCAACAAUGAUUUGCUGAAAUUACUGCUGGCUGUGCACGAGCUGAGUGCCUGCUGCUGACGUCACUCACAAUGCACGUUUGCAGCCAGGCACGUGUGUUGUGACUGGGUGUGUGACAGAGAAAAUCUUUUUGUGUCAUUUAGAAGGAAAAUGCGUGCAUGUUAGCGUUUGAGUCACAUUUCAAAAGUUGCUAAAUCUAGCAACAAAAUUGCUAAAUUGGCAUCAAUGUCCAGUCGGCCAAUCAGAAAGCGUUAUACUGCGGUGUGAUGCUAAGGCGAGAUUACCCCCCUUCAUGUACCACGAAAAAUUGAUGUGUUAGUCAUUUUAAAGGGGACAUGAAGUGCAACAGGCCACACACUGACAUCCCAAGGGGUUCCUGCUGAUUCUACGGAGAUUGUGACAGCUGGUUAAAUUGGAAUACAGCGAGGGAGAGAGGGAGAAAAAGAGGCAACAGCAGGUACAGGUGUCCCAGCAGAAGGUGAUGUCAUGACAGCAGCAGCUCUCGCCCCAUAUGACCACAGCCGCAAGGCCAAGACAUAAUACAGGUGCAGGUCAGGGGGCAACAGUAGGGCCAGGUGGUUUUCGUGCCAGGUCCUGCAGCUGCAUUCCUCCACCUCCUCCCAUCAACAGCUACAGGGGGUCACCAUAGCCCAGCUAUUACAGUCUGGGAACAGCGCCAACAGGUGUGAGACUGCUGUUCCGGGACACCACGGAGUGCCGGUUCUCCUUCAUCUGCACCUCCAACAACCAGAUCUCUCAUAUCCAGGGCAGUUGGACCAGACCAUCUACCACAACUUCCCGUCCCUGCAUGCCCUUGCAGGUACCCCCUCAACUACCAUCAACACCACUCCGGCUGUCUGUCUGAUAUCUAUCUCGCUCUUUCAAAUCCUUUAUGCUUCUCUUUGUGUCUAUCGCUCUGACAUGUGCUCUGGUUGUCAGACAGCAAUGUGGAGGCGGUGGACGGUGGACCCCAGUGGCUACCUGCAGGCUGGGGAUUCACUGCGCACUCUGCCCAGGGUGGGCCCCAACGUAUGCCUCAACCCUUCAGGGCAAUUAAGGGUGCAUCUUCAAAGUGUGCAGCUGAGGAAUGGCUUUCUAUGAACCAACUGUAUGUAGUGCAUUAUUAUGAAUACAUUUUUUGGGAAGGAGCCAUGCCUAUAGCAAGUCUUGGAAUGAAUAGGUGUGAUGGAGGCGAGUGCAUUAUACACAGGCAUAAUAUUAAGCGUUGCCUGUGUUCCACCUCUAGGUGGCAGACUGUGUGUGUCUGAUGGACAAGGCCAGUGUUGUGCCUGUGGACAUGUGUGGCAGAUUACUGAACAAGACUACAGCUGUGCGGCUGUAAACGGGCAGAAGAGCCUCACAGACAAAGUCUGCUGUGAGAUUGGGGAAUUCUUCAGACAGCCAUGGGGUCCUUACGCUCGGUGAGUGGCACACUCGGUGUUCUGUGCUGACCUGAAGAAGUUCCAGAAGCUGACAGAAACACCCUCUGAAACAGGAGGAGGAGAAGGUCACGAUAAAGGUAGCGGGAAUGGGGAAGGACAAGAAAAUGUGUAAUAAAAAGGUCUGUGAAGAAAGAGGUGGAUGUGGUGUGAGGUCAGCAGAGGUUAUUUGUUGGUGAUUUAUGUUAGCUCAGGAGGCUAAACUGAAUAUCUGUUAUUCUCUGCAUACCUCUCUCGGGAGCAACUAGGUUUGUGAGGCUGACAAUCUGACCCUGUCUCCCCAGGUUUAUGACCUGAUUGCAUGCAAACCAAGGUCACUGUCUGGUUUUUUUCCUGAUCACUUUGUAGAAUGAUGUAAGACAGAUAUAUAAAUGUGAUAGAUGUCAUAAAAGAGACAGAGUUCACUCCGAACCAGACUUUUAUUGUCUGUCAUAUAUUUCUGUGUUCAGGCUCUGAACUGAAGGCUACUGAUUAUUUUUACAGUGAUACAUGUCUGGGAAUUAAGCUCUACAGGUGUGGGUAAUUUUACUCUUCUCUUUUUCUCUUCUUUACAUAGGAACUAAACACUGAGAAAGUAUCUAUCUAUUAUUUUCUAGGUCAAUGGACCACCAAAAAUACUUUCUAUUUGUAACAGUUUAUUUUUUUACAAUGAAAUAAAAAGGUUUUGUACUCGU